CAGCCGCCGCCUUCUCCUCCGUUUCUUCUUCCAAGACAGAAGUUUGUAUCCCAGUAUCACGCAGUUGAAGAGUAGCAGCAGAACAACACAAGCUGAUUUCUUCAGAAAGUGUGUUCGGUCAAAUGCGGCCUGUGUUGUCUUUCUGCUUUGGUGCUGUGACCAAAAAGAAGUCUGAAAUUUGCCUGGGCCACCUCCCCACUUCGAGAAAAAAAGCAGUUGAAGGUCAUCUUGGUUUAUAGAAUGGAAACAGACUCACUCAGAUAUUUCACUGUACCGAACAGUUUCAUCCAAAAAGCUGCUCAGUGAAAACAUUUAAAACACCCAGGAUGACAUUUCCAAGCCUCCUCUAUUUAUUACCUUGGUCAAGACUGCAUUCUGUUCCUCAGCUCUAAACAUUAGAUAUGUGUGUCUUUGCAGUUCUGUGCUCCGUACACAAAGCCAAACUGUUUUACAUGUGAGGAACUCAUCUGUCCUGUUCACAAGCUGAGUACCCGUCCAUCUUUCUCUAGGCCCCCACCAGGCCGGUUAGUUUGAAGGACACAGUGACCUACCUUGCCA